rnacentral:rRNA from 1 species
AGAGUUUGAUCAUGGCUCAGAUUGAACGCUGGCGGCAGGCCUAACACAUGCAAGUCGAACGGUAACAGGAAGAAGCUUGCUUCUUUGCUGACGAGUGGCGGACGGGUGAGUAAUGUCUGGGAAACUGCCUGAUGGAGGGGGAUAACUACUGGAAACGGUAGCUAAUACCGCAUAACGUCGCAAGACCAAAGAGGGGGACCUUCGGGCCUCUUGCCAUCGGAUGUGCCCAGAUGGGAUUAGCUAGUAGGUGGGGUAACGGCUCACCUAGGCGACGAUCCCUAGCUGGUCUGAGAGGAUGACCAGCCACACUGGAACUGAGACACGGUCCAGACUCCUACGGGAGGCAGCAGUGGGGAAUAUUGCACAAUGGGCGCAAGCCUGAUGCAGCCAUGCCGCGUGUAUGAAGAAGGCCUUCGGGUUGUAAAGUACUUUCAGCGGGGAGGAAGGGAGUAAAGUUAAUACCUUUGCUCAUUGACGUUACCCGCAGAAGAAGCACCGGCUAACUCCGUGCCAGCAGUCGCGGUAAUACGGAGGGUGCAAGCGUUAAUCGGAAUUACUGGGCGUAAAGCGCACGCAGGCGGUUUGUUAAGUCAGAUGUGAAAUCCCCGGGCUCAACCUGGGAACUGCAUCUGAUACUGGCAAGCUUGAGUCUCGUAGAGGGGGGUAGAAUUCCAGGUGUAGCGGUGAAAUGCGUAGAGAUCUGGAGGAAUACCGGUGGCGAAGGCGGCCCCCUGGACGAAGACUGACGCUCAGGUGCGAAAGCGUGGGGAGCAAACAGGAUUAGAUACCCUGGUAGUCCACGCCGUAAACGAUGUCGACUUGGAGGUUGUGCCCUUGAGGCGUGGCUUCCGGAGCUAACGCGUUAAGUCGACCGCCUGGGGAGUACGGCCGCAAGGUUAAAACUCAAAUGAAUUGACGGGGGCCCGCACAAGCGGUGGAGCAUGUGGUUUAAUUCGAUGCAACGCGAAGAACCUUACCUGGUUUUGACAUCCACGGAAGUUUUCAGAGAUGAGAAUGUGCCUUCGGGAACCGUGAGACAGGUGCUGCAUGGCUGUCGUCAGCUCGUGUUGUGAAAUGUUGGGUUAAGUCCCGCAACGAGCGCAACCCUUAUCCUUUGUUGCCAGCGGUCCGGCCGGGAACUCAAAGGAGACUGCCAGUGAUAAACUGGAGGAAGGUGGGGAUGACGUCAAGUCAUCAUGGCCCUUACGACCAGGGCUACACACGUGCUACAAUGGCGCAUACAAAGAGAAGCGACCUCGCGAGAGCAAGCGGACCUCAUAAAGUGCGUCGUAGUCCGGAUUGGAGUCUGCAACUCGACUCCAUGAAGUCGGAAUCGCUAGUAAUCGUGGAUCAGAAUGCCACGGUGAAUACGUUCCCGGGCCUUGUACACACCGCCCGUCACACCAUGGGAGUGGGUUGCAAAAGAAGUAGGUAGCUUAACCUUCGGGAGGGCGCUUACCACUUUGUGAUUCAUGACUGGGGUGAAGUCGAAACAAGGUAACCGUAGGGGAACCUGCGGUUG